AUUGAACGCUGGCGGCAGGCCUAACACAUGCAAGUCGAGCGAGCGGCGGACGGGUUAGUAAUGUCUGGGAAACUGCCGGAUGGAGGGGGAUAACUACUGGAAACGGUAGCUAAUCCCGCAUACCAUCAGAUGUGCCCAGGUGGGAUUAGCUAGUAGGUUGGGUAACGGCUCACCUAGGGGACCAUCCCUAGCUGGUCUGAGAGGAUGACCAGACACACUGGAAAUGAGACACGGGCCAGACUCCUACGGGAGGCAGCAGUGGGGAAUAUGGCACAAUGGGCGCAAGCCGGAUGCAGCCAUGCCGCGUGUGUGAAGAAGGUCUUCGGGUUGUAAAGCACUUUCAGCGGGGAGGCGUUACCCGCAGAAGAAGCACCGGCUAACUCCGUGCCAGCAGCCGCGGUAAUUC
rnacentral:rRNA from 1 species